rnacentral:rRNA from 1 species
CCGGCACGGGUGAGUAACACGUAUGGAACCUGCCCUAUGCAGGGGGAUAAGCGGAAGAAAUUCCGUCUAAUACCGCAUAACACCAUUUGGAGACAUCUCCAGGUGGUCAAAGGAGGCGACUCCGGCAUAGGAUGGCCAUGCGUCGCAUUAGCUAGUCGGCGGGGUAACGGCCCACCGAGGCGACGAUGCGUAGGGGUUCUGAGAGGAAGGUCCCCCACACUGGUACUGAGACACGGACCAGACUCCUACGGGAGGCAGCAG